UUUUCCAUGAUACGCUUGAAUUCAUUCAGGAUUUGAUCAUUCGAAGCUGAAGUCCAAACAUCUAAAAGUUGUCUCCACUACGCUCGUCAAAAGCUGUUACGCUUCACUAUUUUUAUCCGGUCGUGUGCAGAAGAUUUUGAAAAGACUGAACUAAUCCAAUUACACUCAUAAUCU
ensembl:ncRNA F53A9.12 ncRNA